CAUAUUCUUGAGGUAUUAUUCCCUUUGACUUUUCUUGAAGUUUUUAUAAUUCUAUAUAAUGUUUUUUAGGGUUUUGGUUCUUAAAUGAAUAAAGAAAACAAAUUUCCUGGGCGGGAAAGAAGCAGACAUACUUGCUGGUAAGAUGAGUAUGGUACAGUUGCAAGGGCGGGACCAGUUGCUGACAGCACAAAAUGAAAUGCUCAAGGCGUUGAUUGCUAGUUCGGUUUCAAAAGGGAAUUAUAGAUCUGUGAAGGAUAUCACAUACUUCGUGUUGACUAUUGGUUUUGUGAUGGGUGUUACUUUGGCUGCAAUAUUGGGAGUUUCAUUUGGUUCCAUAGUCA